AAUGACCUAUGAAUUGACAGACA
rnacentral:miRNA from 1 species